UUUUUUUUUGGUUUGAUUAAGGCCUAUGUGUUUCAGAGUAUGCCAUGCAAUUUUGGCUAACCACUUAGAGAACAAUAUUACACUGAAUGGGAAACAGCAUGGUAUACUGCCUUCCACUUACCUUAUUUCUUUGCUAAAUCACUGUAGACGGAGACUGGCAACAGUUAUGGUGAAGCUCAAGUUUGCAGAGCACCUUAAAGAGGCGGUAACAUACAUCGAGCAGGGGCAUGUGCGUGUAGGUCCAGAGACAGUUACCGAUCCAGCCUUCCUUGUGACCAGAAACAUGGAGGACUUCAUCACCUGGGUGGAUUCCUCAAAGAUCAAGAGGAAGGUCAUGGAGUACAAUGACGCAUUGGAUGAUUAUGAUGCCAUGUUUUGAGAGAAUCAUUCCGCGGAAAUUUCUGUGUCCAUCAUUGUAAUCUUGGCUACGCACAUGUGGCAUUUCCAGAACAAAAAUCCGGAUAUUGUCUGUUGCAGGCUGCUUGCAUUUGCAUUGCAGACGUGAUACAGUCUUGUAGCUGGUUGCUGACGCAUUAUGUCUGAUGAUGUAGCGUGCGAUUGUCUUUUUUUUUUAUUAAAGGGAGAGUUUUGUGCUACUGCUACGUUGUGCCUUCACGAUGUUCAUUCUGCAGUGCAUUUGUGGUUGACUGCGUUGUUAUACCCUGCCCCAUUCAGCACAAUUUCAGUUGGAAGUCGGAGUGCUCUAAAGUCCAUGUGGAUGUCGUUGAGGCACGAAUUGGAUGCCAAUUGCAGAUGAAACUUAAACAAAAACUCGCCACAGAGAUCUCUCGGCUAUGUUGAUGGGGAUUUGAGGUUAGGGAUUUAGAGGGAGGGCCGGGAGAGGGAAAGUUGGCCCACGUGGCAGAGGAGACUAGUCUGGUCGAAGGUGACCGAUUGGAAGGGUCAAGACGGAGACAACUUUUCCUAAUGGUUUAGAGCAACUCCAAGAGUACUUCAAAAAAAUUUUCUCCAAAAUUAUAUAUUGGGGGUUCUUCCAAAAAAAAUUUUCCCAAAAACAUAUCAAUCCACAGCAGAUCGCUAAUAAAUAGUCCCUAAUAUUUUCAAACAGGCCACGUCAUCAUAUUGGACCCAUCAGAAGGGACGCGCGAGCGUGCGGGAAUCAGGAUUGGGGGAGGAAUGCCAACGCUAAAAUAUACGCGGUGGUAGUCUGUUUUUAGCGUUGCUAAAAAAUUGGGGAAGGUUUGGGUGGACUGUUGGAGCUCGUUUUUUCUCCUUUUUUCCCUAAAAAAAUAUUGGGGGUAAGAUUAGCAGCCUCUUGGAGUUGCUCUUAGCAACAUGGUGGGGCAGGAGUGCUAGCAGAUUUGGCACUUGGCACUUUGGCAGUAGAGACAUCGGAGAUAAGAGGAGGGUUUUCUUCUUUUAGGCUAGGUUGGCAGCGAGGGUAGAAAAAACCAGGGAAGAAUUCCCACGCUAGGGAUUUUGAUGGCAAAUCAACUUCCCGGUGGGGAUUUCUGAUUUCCCGGGAGGAUCUCCUUGCUGGUGUUUGGAAACCUUGGAGGACUUACUCGAUCAGGCGGGGCGGAGGCGCGGCAGGUCGUCGGCGCCAAGCAGGCGGGAGGGUGAUGGCGAAGGAGCGAGCGACUACGGCGGUGGCGUUCGACGGGGGAGACGGACGAGUCGGCGGUGACGGAGGAGCUGGGGGGAGGAGGAGAUAGGGGGGCGGCGGGGGGAGACGCGCGAGAUGGGAGACGGGCGAGACAAGGAUGGGGACGGGCGUCCGAUGCCUGAAGGCCGGGAGGUAUUCCACGCGGAAUAUUAGGUUGAGACAGGCUAGACUCCCCCGCCUAGCAGGCUUCCAAAUGCACCGGUAAAUUAGCUCGUGAAAACUUUCCGCAUGAACUUCCUCCGCGGGAAAUAGGCCGGGAACUCGGUGGGGAAAUGGAUUGCUAAAUAAGCUCUUAGAGGGUACGGGGUUAAUGGGAACUGGGAAGCUUGCUCGCGACUUUGGCGUCAGGAGGAAGACCGAGGAUGAUCUGAGAAAGAAGGAAGAAGCAAAAUAGCCCGAGUGUGGGUUGGACGGGUCAAUAAGGAAAUCCAGAUAUUUGUCUGUCUUCAAUUCUAUGCUUAUCUGAGUUGACAAAUCGCAUUCAUUCUUUAGAAUCCGGCAGCUGUGCUCAUCAUUCAUGUGAUGCCGAUAUUUCGGUUGAUCUGACGUGACAGACUUAGUACAGCCUACGUACGGCACUCGUAUGCUCAUCCUAUCGAAAUCUCAAAUGGCCUCAACAAAAAAAGAAUCGAAUGCUCGAACGAACAAACCCACACAAAAGCGAAACGGAAACGCUAGGUCCCGUUUGGAGCCAACACCAAAAAUUAAUCCCUAUCACAUUAAAUACUUAAUAGUAAUUAGAAGUAUUAAAUAUAUAUUAAUUACAAAAUCAAUUAUAUAAAUGAAGGCUAAUUCGUGAGACAAAUCUAUUAAACCUAAUUAGUUUAUGAUUAGCACAUAUUACUGUAGCGUCGUAUGGGCUAAUCAUGUAUUAAUUAGGCUUAAUAGAUUUGUUCCGUGAAUUAACUACGAUUUAUAUAAUUAGUUUUAUAAUUAGCUCACAUUUAGUCAUUUUAAUUAAUAUCAAAUCUCCAAUGUGACCCGUUAGAAAGUAGUUCACGGAGUGUGAGACGCGUUACGGCAGUUGACAAAAUGCUCACCCAGAGAUUCCUCCGCCGGUGUUCGUUUUCAACCGCCCCUAUCGACGUGAUUCCGUACUAAUUUGUUCACUCGCGAACAAAGCGAGCGCCACUGUACGUAAAAACACUACCUGGACGUGCCGUCCAAAGCACAGCAACGAGCCAACGACGUCGUCUUAAAGAGCGAGGACGCCGAGGAGCAGCGGCGACCGUCGGGGCCGCGCCGGCCGAAAGCUCGGGCGAGCUCGCAGAAAAGAGACCAGCGGUGACGUCCGGCUCCCCUCGGCGCUCGGCAGACGCAAGCACGCGAUACGCCACGCCACGGAGGAGGGAGACGGGGAGCUGGGCCUGAUCGAAUCCGGGGUCCUUUCGUGCCAGGCCGAACAAGCAACACACAGGAUUCACACGAAAGACCCUCUCCUGUCUCCUCCUUGGCGAGUCGGUUGCUCCGCGGCCACGGUUUCAGUUCCUUCCUCGAGGAAGCCUCCGUUCCGUGCGCCACGCUCGAAGCAACCGCUCUCCCCCGUCCCCCCUGAACCUCACCAAACACCCACCCCCAGACCUCCCCCAACCGAUGGAGGUGGACCCGGCGGCCGCGGCGGACGAGAGGGGGAAGAAGGGCGCGCCCGGCGGAGGCGGAGGCGGCGGGGGGCUGGAGUGGGAGCUGGAGAGGCAGUACGACUUCGAGCGGGAGAUGAUGCUGAUGGCCGCCGCGGCGCCGGGCGCGGGGCCGCAGCAGAAGCCGAAGCAGCAGCGGCACCGGCCGUUCACCGCCGAUCUGCUCCAGAACUGCGACCUGCCCCCUCCCGCCAAGCUCUUCGGCCCCGUCCCGACCCUGCAGAGGUGAGCGCGCGCGCCAUCGUCUCUUGCUUUACUUCUCCCUCAGUCGCCGCGAGAAAUCCCGCCCGUCGGGGAUUGCAUUGGUCGGACCUCACUGAGACCAGCGCCGUGUCUGGAAAAAAGGUUGGAGAGCGCGGCGGGGGCGGACCAGAAGGGCGACGCCAUCGGCGGCGGCGGUGGGGGGAACAACAACGACAGCCUGAUGCGGGCGCUGCGCCUGUCGCAGUCGCGCGCGCGGGAGGCGGAGGAGAAGCUGGCGGCCGCGGGGGCCAGCAACGGGGAGCUCGCGGCGCUGCUGGUGCGGGACUCGGUGGCGCUCUCCGCGCACCGCCGGUGGGUCAUGAUGCUGGAGGCCGAGAACUCCCUCCUCAGGGGAGGAGGAGGAGGCGCGGCACCCCGCGGCGCGGACCCGGACCGGGACGGCGACGGCGACGGCGACGCGCGGUGCGGCGGCGGUAGCGGCGGGUUGGCCGCGUGGUGGGUCGCGGUCGCGGUCUGCGUCGGCAUCGCCGGCGUCGGGCUCGCGCUCGGCAGGUUCCUGUGCUGAACAUCUGCGAACAAUUAUUCUCCCGGAUUUUGUAAAGCGGAAACUGCGGAUCGGAAGAUCGAAUUCACCUUAUCCAGGUUAGAACAGUUCGUUGAUACGGAUGCACACGUUCUGUGGAAAAUGGAAAUAUUACAGCUCGGUUACAAAUUCUAGUCUGUGAUUAGCGUUCCCUUGCUGCUGUAAAUCGGGGAGUAAAAAUAUGAGCUGCAAAGAAGCGAGGGUAGUGUACAUAGGAUUGGACUAGAAGCUGCCGUAUCCAUCACUGCACGCUUUCAUGGAAAGGAAAAGGAGAACAAAUCUCAUGGUCGGAAUGGGGCAUCCUUCAGGUUGUCUACACUUUGAUGCCUGCCUUCAGGUUCCGGCGAUUCUGCGAUGAUUUUGCUCUGGUCACUUUCAGAGGCUUAUCUGCUUGUCUAACCCAAGCACAGGCAAAUCGUAGCCGUACGGGGCAGAGUACAGUACAGACGCCACCGGGUAUACUUGGACACUUGGUUACAUUCUUGAGUCAAUUCCCCAUCAAAAUUUAUAUAACUUCCCUCAGUGCCAUAAAAUUUUAUGAAGGGAGGAAAUCCCUUCAGUGCUAUUGAAGUUAAGAUUUAUCCUAGUGCCAUAGAAUUUUAUGAAAUUUAUAGAAUUUAACCUCAAUGGCACCAAAGGGAUUUCAUAAAAUUCUAUGGCGCUCAAGGAAGUCAUAUAAAUUUUGAUGGUAACGAGGAAUUGACUCUACAUUCUUAUCAUCAUUAUUAUUGUGGGUUGGGGCGUAAUCGUAAUCCACGGAAAAUCAGGAUAGGGCUUGUCGGGUCCAAUGUCUUUUCUCUCUCUUCCAAAUAAAGCUCAAGUUUGACCAUUAGUUCUACCAAUAUGAAAGAUAAUCUCUACUAAAUAUUAAAGUGCGGUUGUUUCUUCUAACCGUCGUGGUUGUUUUUGCAAAAAGAAGUCCCUCAACUUUUUCGUAAUAAACUCGCAGUCCUUGGAAUAGUUCUUGACGAUUUUGCAAAAAAGUCCCUUUAUCCACCCGUUCCCCUCCUCCUCCGGUCUCUUUCUGACUUUGCAUGUGUGGUGCGUGCUGCCAUGGGAGGUUGCGCGUGGGGGAGAAGAGAGGUCGACGCCAGCCCCCACACCAUCCUCCGGCCGCGGGCGCCACCGCCUGCCGGCCCCUUCUCCCCUUUCUCCACUUUCUUCUUUACUCGUCAGCCCUUCCACCUCUUUCUCUCCACCUCACUAGUGCUCCAUCUACCACUAGUGAAGGGCUUAUGACGGUUGAGGUUGCAUUAAUGGGUGAUGGUGUAGAAGCAGGAUUGGGCUUGAAACAUGGCCUCACUGAUGUUUCUCAAGACGUUCCAUGUGUAUAUUCUUUAAGAAGACUACUAUGGUCUUCAAAAGCCAAUGUGACAUUUGGGUUCGUCCAAGUCUUUCUUCGUUUGUCCUCUCUUCUUUCACUGAUUAAGCUUGGAGAAGCAAAGGAUCAAAGUCAAACUCAAAGAGUUUGAAUUGAACGAGUUUUUAGACUUGAAUUGUCACACGAGAAAGGACCAAAUGGUGCCAUCAUCAGACCAAUUAUUUGGGGCCAUUUUCAUUCAACUCUAAGUACAGCCCAGUGAUCUCAGGCUAUUGGCACAGUGGCCAAUCCCGUGCCACUAUCUAUGAUUGUGUUUGGGUGGUAAUCAAGGCCACACCAAUUUAUCCGGUGCUGCUAGCAUGCAUCCAACAAUCCGAUGGUGUUGUUUUCUGCCGAAUGGGGUGGCUAUUAGUCAGCUGCAACACUCAUGGCCUAUAUUUACAUCUCCAUGUCACUCAAUUGAGCUUUCUUGACUCCUAGAAUACUUAUUGUGAGGGCUAGUUGGGGUGUUUAGGAUUUAUUAAUUAAAGAUUAAGCACCCAUUAUCUUUAGCGACUGUGCAUCUGCUUGUAGGUCAAGUGAGAUUCUUUGCGUGUUCCUUGCGUGCUCUGUUUGGAAUCCGCAAUCGGUUGGAAAAUGGAUAUCCACUACAAGCAUUUGGUCCUUGCGUGGAUUAAUGGGAGCUAUACCCUUACGUGAUUGUGAUUGCUCCAACUAAUCAUCUCUUUCUGCAAUUUACAUUCUUAGAAUUAUCAUGGCAGUAUAGUGUUAUAACUAGGUUGCAAAACUUUGUGCUGACUAAACUUUUCUAAGGUUAGGCAAAAGGAUUAUAUUUUCAGGAUAAAAAUUUGUAGAAGCGUAAUUCACCUCGCUCUUAGGUAGUUUGACCCUUCCAUACAAAAUUAACUCGAAGUAAACAUGCAUUGUGCCACCAUGCAUACCAAGUAUUCGUGCAUGCACAAGAGAAUCAUGAAAGAAAAAGUUUUCUUGAAGAAAUCACACACCAAUUAAUGAGACCGAUAAAGUAUUUUAAAUAAUAUGAAUACUCUAGAAUACUAAAUUGUAUUAGCUGCCACCUUGAAUAAACUUAUGCAUUUUGGCUAAAACAUUAUAACAUAGAUGCACUAAUCAAUUUAAUUGUAAGCACUCAUUUUUUCUAAAAAUAUCAAAUACUACUGCACUCAUAAUUCUUUGAUAGUCGAAAUUCAACAUCUUAAGUGUUGUAGCUGACUAAUACAUAUUUUAAUUCUAUUGCAGUAACUAAAAGUGUAGUCUAAGACCUAGAGUGAAAUUUUCUAAUAAAAUAUGGAAAAGAGCUUUGAAUAAGAGCAAAAACAAUGAGCACUAGAAUUUAAAUUUAAUAUACGGAGAAAAAAUCUAGCAACUAACAAGAUCUAAUUUGAAAGCCAAAAUUUAGAUUGAUUGAGUACGACACAUGAGCUGCAUCAAGAGCUGAAACAACUCAAGCUAAAAUUUCUAUUAAACAUCUAUCGAAGAAAAGUUUUGUUGCAAUGCAAAGGGGAACAAUGAAUAUGGAUGGUAAUAAUUUGUAACCAAAUUUAUCAGAACUAAAUAGAGUCUACACAGUAUGUACAUAGGUACUGACGCUAGAAAAGUAAAUAAAAAGAAAAUAAAGAUAAGCUUGAUUAGCCGGGUGGACUUUUAGUGCUUAUGUCACCUAACAUUCUAUCUCAUGCCAAAGCAUGGGUUCGAUGGACUAGUAUUUGCUAUGUAAUAGGGAAAAAAUGAAUGACAUGCAUGUACAUUUUUGCGAGUGACGUGUAUGUACUUAGUACUAUAGAAAAUAGCAUUGAUGUAUCAAGCAUCGGUUUGGCUCUCAGUUGAGCACGAACCAAACAUUUUUUUAACACCAUCUUUACUUUGCCUAGACUCUCUAGAUUCUCCUCCUUCAGAUUUGUUUGGAUAGAAGAGGAUUGCAAGGGAAAGAAGGGGAUUACAUUUAAAAUGAACUAAUUUCCUCUUCAAUCCCUCACAUUCGAAUUCAAAUCCACUGGUGUCAAACAAAACUUCCUUAUUACAGUGGUGAAAGGGUUUAUAGAAUCCACGGUGCCCAUGCACUUUACUUCUCUGCUCCUAUCCAAACGGGAGCAGGUCGUGGUCGUAGACGGGCCGGCCGGGGGUUGGUGGCACUGCCACUGUACCUACUCCCUCCCCCUUGCUAUCUGCACUUGGACGCGACGCGCCUUCGCGGUCAAGCGACGGCGAUGCCGCCAUUGCCAGCCGCCAAAAAAACGACUCUCACCGAUAGCAGACCGGAAGCCUGAACUUUCUAAGCCCGUAUAGCACGGUAUGCGGCCUGACAUGGUUGCGCAAGCGUGCAAGCCAUUGGACGACGAAAAUUCAAUCGUCUGCCUCUGCCCUGGUUUACUGUCAGGUAAUCCGAAACAAACACACACAAACAAGCUACACAAAUAUGAGAAAAACGUUUGUUUGAGAAGUCGAUCUGGUCCAGCUUUUGUAUUUUAGUAUAAAUGGAGGCGUGAGGAGAAGCUGAACUGCUAGUUUCAGCUUAUUUUAGCCAUAGUCAGGAUUUGACUGCCUGUGAGCUCCUGAUAGCUUACCGUGUGUCCUCGGUGGUAGCUGCAUUCUGGUCUCUGUUGAGAUGUCCGACCGCGGCGUGGCGUCGCAUUGACUUGAACGAAGAUGUUGUGAUGUUUCCGGGCCGGUGAUAAUCGCGUUCGCGUCUUCUUUAUUUGCCUGUGAUUUUCUCAGCCCUUGAACAGGUUUACGAGGCGCACAAAGUCACCACAAGCGAUGGAUAUGUCGCCUACGCCUACCUUCAGCGAAAGAUUUGCAUUGAAAUAAAUUUUUUUAAAAAAAUACAAAGACCCCAUGUUGAGUAGAAAUUCGAAACGUAUGGGUAUGUUCCACCCAAGAAAUCCAAUCAGCUGGGUUACGCUCGGCACGAACCUUUAUAUUUAACAACAUGUUAAUCAUACUCCCCUUCCAUUUUCAGAUAUUUGUGCAACGCAUUAGGAAAUUUCUUGUGUGUUUUUUUUUUUCAAAAAUCACUAGGUCGCUUUUGAAUUUAACUGGACGGUAAUUUUGAAAAUAGAGGGGGCAAUAGCCUUGGGGACUAGUAAAAACAGAGGCGAAAAGGACUCAUAAGUGAAUACAACCAUGAUUGCCAUGGAUCUAAUGGGCGGUAUGGAUACUCUACGUGUGAAUGGAGUCUGAAGUCUGAACUGUCAAUAAGAUUUCUGCGUCGUUAAAAAUAAGGAUAUCAGUUCAUAGCAGCUUGCUUGUUCCUUUUCAACCUUCAAUGCUGAGAUGUUGCUCCAGCGCCAAGCCAGGGCUUAAAUAAAUUAUUGGCACCCAGCAAACAUUCCUGAAGUAGCAGUAUACCUCAUCACAAAUUCCAAUACAGGAAACUUACCUGCAACCUCACACCACAAAAAUAAACUAAAUUCUUCUCUGAAGUUCUUCCUUUUGAGAAAUACUAGUCUUGUCUUCAAUUAUUACAUGAUCCCAAUCCAGCUCCUGUACGUUUCAAAAAAAAAAAUCCAUCUCCUGAUUGAGACGGAGCCUAACCUGCUCAACUCAACAGCAGCAGACGACGGGUCCGUAGGCACAGCUAUCUGCAGUUCUGCACACCACACCCACCGCCUAUGAUGAAGCCAAGACGGCGUCGUCUUCCUCCUUUCGGUCAAUGCAUUAGGUGAAAAAGGAGGAGCAGAUUUUACACACGCCGGACUGGUACUAGGCUAUGGCUGGGCCUGCCUUGCUCUCCGGAAUAAACCUGCCUAUGAUUAGGUCAGCGAUUAGUUCGUAACAUGCCACCUUGUAACGCGACGUCAAAUCAAAGGUUUAACUAUUUCCUUCGAGCUCCGGGAAGCUUUUGCCUCUACUGUACACUAGCCUUUUGACAAAUGGUGAAUCAGCAGGCACUGAUCCUUCUUCUUCUUCUCCUUCUUUGAUGGAGACAUGUCAGGCAACAGGCUGCAAUAUACAUGCUGAAAUUGCAGAGAGGAAGGUAGCUGCUGCGCCACUACUGCGGUGACUAUACAAUACAAUCCGUUAGUGGCUUCAAGCUUUGGCAUCGGUUCUCUUCUCCUAACCACUCCAUCGCGCUGCUCCCUUUCUUCAAUCGAUCGACACCUUCCGUUUAAUCUGUGCUGGGUGUUUGGUGACAAAAGCACACGGAGGUCGAUCUGGCAGGCCGUCUAGAAGUAUUGAACCGUGAACAAUCAUUAGAAAACAGAGUCAGUGACUCGGUGUAAACGAAGUAGUUGAAUGGAUCGAGCUCCAUGUAUGGCCGGCCGGAAACGCGUGCAUGGAUGGGUCGAUGCUGCGACAAGCGAUAACCAUCAUUGACGACGACGACCCUCACCUACCAUACACGAUGGAUCCAUUCGGGGUUCGAAAUGAAGGGGAGGAAAGCGACAGAUUUUGCUAGCAGCUCCGGCGAACCAGCACGGAAAAGGCAGCGUCCCUGUCUUCGGCGAUCCACUUCGCCGUUCGAGGGCAACUAGACAAGAUGUUUUUCUUUAAGGGAAUGAUGCAUGAGAUCAUCUUUUAAUUUGCAUUUUCCUGACUGCACAAAAUCUUUGUAGGAUUGGAGAUAAAAUACUAGUUAUAACAUAGCAUGAAGAUCAACAAGAAAUCUUUGAAUGAGUAGCGUGCAUACAAAUUCAACGCGAGCUAUUUUCCACACCUGCGAUUGGUGAUGAUGGGGAGCGACAAUUUCAACCCAUGAAACAACGAAGCUGGGGGAGGAGCCCAAGCGUGGACCAACGACUACUCCUUUUAUCCUGCAGCCGCGCCGCGUCUUUCCGAUAGCUUAAUUCCAUGAGAACCAUGUGGUGUGGCUCUAUAAAAGGGGACUCCGGCAACCUGCCCUGCCCACCCAACCAUCGAGUGCAAGUGUGCAACCCAGUCACAAGACAUCACUAAAAGCUACCUGCUUCGUUUCGUGGGCAAGCUCCUCUGCUCCAGCCUCUUCCAUGGCGUCCCGUUCCGCUUUGAUCGCGCUGCUCGUCGUCGUCAGCUGCGCCGCCGCGGCCUCGGCGGCCACCUACAACGUCGGUGAGACGCAGGGGUGGAGCCUAGGCGUCGACUACAGCACCUGGGUUACUGGCAAGAACUUCUCGGUCGGAGACAAGCUAGGUGCGUACUCUGUCCUCGGCAAGCUGCUAUUUACUCGCUCGGCCUCGUGCUUGCUCUUCUCGUCUGAAAUCACACACUUCACCGUUAACUUGUUCAUCAUGUAAUGAAGAGAUAAUUACACUGAAAAAAAAAGCAUCCAUGGCAUCUCUUUUUGGAAUGGCAAGGUGAUUGAUAAUUCAAUGGAUUUUUCAAGUAACAUUUCUUCUCUGUUUGCUAAGCACUCUCGAAACCUGCAGUGACAAAUAGCAAAGCCGUUUCUUCACUUUUUAGAAGUAAUCGUGGGGAAUUGUGUACUGGGUUUUUAAUCCAAUCGUUUUUUUUCCCGUCCCCUCCUGCAGUGUUCACCUACGCCACCGGGAACCACGACGUGCUGGUGGUCUCCAAGAGCGACUACGAUGCCUGCAACAAAGGCAACGCCCUGAGUACCCAAACCGACGGCCCGACCACCAUCACCCUCGACUCCGCCGGCGACCACUACUACAUCUGCGGCAUCGGCACCCACUGCAGCGGCGGCAUGAAGCUCGCCGUCAACGUCGGCUCCGGCUCCGGCUCCGGCGGCGCCCCCACCCCCUCGACGCCGUCCACACCCGGCACCCCCACGACCCCCGGCACCCCCAGCACCCCGGCCCCCGGGAACGCCGCGUCCGCACGCUACACGGCCGCGCCCGCUCUCGCCGUGGCCGCCGGCGUGCUCCUCAAGCUCGCCCUGUUCUGAUGAUCACCACCACCGCCGCCGAGACGCACGGCGCGGCCUGGCUAUUUUGCGUGGCCAGGGUAGAGGCAGUGCAGGACUAUUCUUGAGCUUUGUUUUCUGAUCAGCCGGGCAUGUACCUACUGUUGAUGCUUUGCUGUUUCGCUUGUUGUUCAUUUGCGAGUGUAGUAGUUGGUGUCUUGUAAUAAUUUCAUUGUUUUCCUCUCCAUGGAUAUAUCUGCAUGACUUUGUCCCAAUAAUGUUUGCUUUUAACACGUGUUAAAUUAACGUGCAAUCUUUUUUUCGAAAGAUAAUUAAGGUGCAAUCUAGUCCAACUUGCUCUUAGUGCAAGCUGAGCUUUCUUUUCGCCGGAGAAAAAGGCCCCAAAAGCUUGUUAUUCUUGAAUUCUUUUUUGAAAAGAUAUUCUUGAAUCUUGACUUGAUCAAAAGUUUGCUUCUAGAAGCUUAAAGCUGGAGCUCAAACCAAACCAGCGCAAAGUAACAGUGUCACAAUAGGGACCUAGUUCAAAGAACGUAAAAGGUUAGUCAUGCUGAGCAAAGCAGUAGGUGCCAAUAAUCUACAUGUUGGACUUUGGUUAGUUCUAGGGCGAGAGUGAUUCGGGCGGUUGGGUUAGGUAACAAUGACGGGACUAAGGCUAUAGAGGAAACGGAUUUGGAAGGAUGCGCGGAAAAACAAUGCCGAGGACGACAGUGAUCUCGUUUGGAGGGUACGUGUCGUUACAAGUCCUUCCUUCAAUUCCCAAAGUGUUACAGAAGCAAAGGAGCCAGAAGCACGGAAGUGCCCUGCUCUACUGUGCGGAAGUGAAAGACGUGAAGGUUACAAAAGCCUCUACCUUUUCAAGGACGACCGUUAAAAAGACCCUAAGCCUCGAAGUCUAGUGACUUCAUCCGCGGUUGUUCGUGCUAUGGGGUUAACUGCUCCCUGCGAAAUUUCUCUGAAUCUGUCCUCGGCCGUUGGAACUCCAAGUCAACACCUGCUCCGGCCCGUGCGAAUCUGACGGUUCGCAGCAUGUGACCAGCUGCAACGGAGCAGGUAUACGAAAUCAUGCGUCUUUGAAUAGAAAAGCAUGGAGGUGAAGGGUUUUUCAAGUUUCCUUCACAUCUCCGGUGGUAGGUGGAGAGUAAGGCCAUUCUCAGUCCAAAAGUGCCACGUCAUCUAACAACCAGUAACUUGAUGAAUGAAACUAAGUCUCUCAAUGCAAAUUUUAUUUCACGAUUUCAUAUGUUAGCGUAUCAUUUAAAUCUUUCAUCCAAGUGACUAAUGGGAGUUGAUGCAUGUGUGGACAUGAAACUCAAAUCCUCUCAAUGCAGUUUCAUUCUAGUUUCAUGGCUCUAGGUAACCGUGUACACCUAGUUUCAUCCCCAUGAAACUCAAUUCUUCUCUUUCUUUUUAAAUUACAUGUCAUGUCAUCACUUUUACCUAUGUAGCAUGUCAUUUAAUGAGAAUGAAACUCAUGUGACACUUGAGAAUGACCUAAGGAAGGCACUAUCAGGUGUCUCAGCCUCUCACAAGUCUCUUCUACGUAUCUUUUUUCUUUGCGAGAGCAUCAUUAGUCUCAGCGAAAAGGAUGAUGGGCCAGCACAAACUAGGAAUAUCCUAUCCGCCCGCUCGCUACCGAAGAGGCCCAAAUCCAAUGCAUGCAUCCUCAAUGCUUAACCUAUCUGGCCCAUGGGCUACAAAUGAUAAACGCACGUUGGGGUGAACUUGCUGGUGACCAUAAUAAUUAUCAACAUCAAGAUUAUGUGAUCUGGUUAUACGUCUAUAUAAUCUUGAUUAAGGGCAUUGACUCAAUCUAUGCCUCUACGAUUUAUAUGCGCCGUUUGAUCCAUCGUCUAAAUUUUAAUAGGCUAAAUUUAGCUCAUCUGGAUCCAGGGCAACUAAAGACCUCCCAGCUAAGUUUAGCCCUUUAACUAAUUUCAACUUGCUAAACCAGCUAAACCCAAGUAGAAGUGUUUAAAGAUAGUUCUACCCCUCCACAGUCUCGGUAAAAAUCCCCACUACAAUUAAUGAAGGGUCGUAUGGUAACUUAUUUUUAACUAGUAUUUAGCUAGUGGAUCUAAACACUCCUUGCUAAAAUUUAGCUACCUAAAACUAAACUUUAGAACAGGACCUAAGAUUCCUACGUUACUUAUUAGAGCCACAAUUUUGACAUCCUUGCUACUGACCCCACGAUUCUGCCAUUAAGACAAAAUCUUAUAUAAUCUAGAGCGAUGACAAUCUCAAACAAACAGAAUAUUAAACCCACAAUUCUGACAACUUUUCUGCUAACCCCACGAUUCUGCCAUUAAGGUCACCAUCAGAUAUUUUGACAACCUUUCUGCUGACCCCACGAUUCUGCCAUUAAGGACAUGAUCGGAUAAGUUAUUUGAAAGUGAAGGGAAAGCUAAAUCUCACCCGAGAGAAAUAGAAUCCUUUCUUACCUAAAUUUUUCUUCACCCUCAUCUCCCUUUCUUCUCCAACUCCGGUGAGAUUCCAGCAAGGUUAGGGGUUCGAGGGUUGUCGGGGUGGGGCUGCUCACCGCCGGCCUUUAGAGGGAGGGCCGGCGGUGGCAGGCUAGCCCGGCGGAGGUGGUGGGCGUGGGGGCGCCGCCGGCCGGGUAGCGGAGGAUGGCAGUUGGACGGUGCUGGAGCGGGGGUGUCGAUGGUGACGGUGGCGGCGGGAGGGGCAGGAGGCGACCAGCGCGGGCGGGCUAGGGUCCGCCGGAGGGGGGAGGGUCUGGGCGGCAGGUGACGGAGGGGUGGAGGAGGAGGAAGGGAGGGGGGAGGGGCGAAGAAGAGGGUGAGGGGAGGAGAUAAGGGAGAGAGAGAAAAGGACCGGUCGGCACGGAGCUCUGGCGAACCUAGCCCACCUGCACCGGAGGGGUGGGGGAGGGCCUGGGCGGUGGAGGGUGGGGAGGAAGAAGAAGAGGGUGGGAGGGGAGGAAGAAGAGGGUGGGGAAGGAGAUAAGGGAGGAGGAGGGAUUUAAGCCGUCAAUUUUAAAUCCAAUAGCUCAACAACUCGUGUAAGAAGAGUCUCUACCUCACGUGGGUAAGCUAUAAACACUCUGAGUAAAAGGGCCCGCGUUUAAGCUACAUCCUGAAACUUCAAGCAUCCUCCUCCCACCAGUGCACAAGCCGCAAGUGAUUCGGUCCCGCACGCAAGCCGCAAACGUAGAGAAAAACAAAACAGCCAGGAGGGAUCCCGGCAAAUCUGAUGAUCACACGAUCCGCACCCCAACCAAAGUUCAACCAGGAAAUUCUGCCAGCUAGCCAGCAUCAUUCUUCCGAGCAUCAAUUCCAAGUUUCCAACGGCACAACAAACAAUUUCUUCAUGAAUUGUCGGAAACCACCCAAGGGCCGGGUGGUUUCCGACGCGCCACGGCGCAGCCACCGUCGCCAUCACGGGCGUCGCGGUUCCGCCGCACGACGACACCGGGGGCGUGGCAUGCGGCCACGCGCCCUCGCCGCCCCCGCCGUGUGGCGGCCACCUACCCCCACCACCGCCACCCCGCUUGCUUUCCGCUCCAGUCCUCCACUACAGGCGCUCUUCCAGUCUCCUCCACUCCUUUCCGGAGCUCCCCCCUUCCCCCAUGGUGCUCCCCAGCUGGCCACCAACGUCACGGUGAAACCUCCCGUCACCGAUCACUCGCCGAGGGGAAUAAGAAAUUCAUCGGAAAAAAGUGCUAGAACAGAAGAACAUGCGCGCAGAUCUGGAGAUCCGGAGCUCCAGAUCUGCACGAACAAGCACGGAUCAGGAGAGAUCAAAUACGCUAGAGUACUAAAUAACACAAUAACAAUACUAGUGAGCAGAUCUGUAGAAAGAAUGCGCUACAAAAGAAACGCGGCAAUUAUACAAUGGCAACCCACAUCACUGUCUCAUCAACUCUCAAUCCCUAUCUCCCCUCUCACACGCACGCACGCACGGACGCUAGAUCAGAUCUGACGAGCCCUAGACUAAAACCCCGAAUGGAAUGAGCAAACCCAAAACGAAGACGAACAAUAAAUAGCGGUAGGCGGCGCGACGUCGAGCGGAGGCGGCGGCGGCGGCGGCCAUGUCAUGUCACACCGGAUCGGCGGCCAUCUCAGAAGAAGGCCGCGGCGGCUGCCACGGCGGCGGCGGCCAGGGCGAAGGCGGGGGCGACGCUGGACGCGGCGCUAGGCGGGGUUGGGGAGGCCGGGGCCUCGGCCGGCGGCUGGGUGAUCGAGCCCGGCGCCGGCGCCGGCGGCGACUGCGGGUGCUCCGGGGCAGGGGCCG
rnacentral:lncRNA from 1 species